UACGUAGGUGGCGAGCGUUAUCCGGAUUUAUUGGGUUUAAAGGGAGCGUAGGCGGUUUUGUAAGUCAGUGGUGAAAGACGGCCGCUCAACGGUCGCAUUGCCAUUGAUACUGCAAGGCUAGAGUACAGUAGAGGUAGGCGGAAUUUAUGGUGUAGCGGUGAAAUGCAUAGAUACCAUAAAGAACACCGAUUGCGAAGGCAGCUUACUGGACUGUAACUGACGCUGAGGCUCGAAAGUGCGGGUAUCAAACAGG
rnacentral:rRNA from 1 species